GAUGAACGCUGGCGGUGUGCCUAAUACAUGCAAGUCGUACGCAUUCCCGUUUUUGAUUGAAGGUGCUUGCACCUGAUUGAUAAAACAUCGGAAUGAGUGGCGGACGGGUGAGUAACACGUGGGUAACCUGCCCAGAAGUGGGGGAUAACAUUUGGAAACAGAUGCUAAUACCGCAUAAUAGAUAGAACCACAUGGUUCUAUUUUGAAAGAUGGCCUUUGUGCUAUCACUUCUGGAUGGACCCGCGGUGUAUUAGCUAGUUGGUAAGGUAACGGCUUACAAAGGAAAUGAUACAUAGCCGAACUGAGAGGUUGAUCGGCCACAAUGGGACUGAGCCACGGCCCAUACUCCUACGGGAGGCAGCAGUAGGGAAUCUUCCACAAUGGGCGCAAGCCUGAUGGAGCAACACCGCGUGAGUGAAGAAGGGUUUCGGCUCGUAAAACUCUGUUGUUAAAGAAGAACGUAUCUAAGAGUAACUGCUUAGGUAGUGACGGUAUUUAACCAGAAAGCCACGGCUAACUACGUGCCAGCAGCCGCCGUAA
rnacentral:rRNA from 1 species